UUCAAGGAUAACUUUUGCAUA
rnacentral:snRNA from 1 species